rnacentral:lncRNA from 1 species
UUGGAGUCAGGCCACUUGUGCCACGGCUUGAGCAAACCGUGCUGCCUGUAGCUCCGCCCAAAACGGGAGGCGUAAAAAUUCCCAGGGAGGCCAUGCGCCACGGAAGCUGUACGCGUGGCAUAUUGGACUAGCGGUUAGAGGAGACCCCUCCCAUCACCAACAAAACGCAGCAAAAGGGGGCCCGAAGCCAGGAGGAAGCUGUACUCCUGGUGGAAGGACUAGAGGUUAGAGGAGACCCCCCCAACACAAAAACAGCAUAUUGACGCUGGGAAAGACCAGAG